GGGCCGUUAGCUCAGUUGGUAGAGCACCGGGCUUUUAAUCCGUGUGUCGAAGGUUCAAAUCCUUCACGGCCCACCA
rnacentral:tRNA from 2 species